rnacentral:lncRNA from 1 species
GGGCAGGGAUGCGGCCUGGUUUUGCUCACAGGCGUGUUCUUACCGCCUGGCCCAACAAGGGCUCACAACAGCCUUCGUGACUCAGUGAGGCGCUUUGACCCCUCCCGUGAGAUCUGGCUUUGCUCGGCUUCGCUCGCCAUUCCCACUCCUGACCCUCACCUCCAGAAGGCUCCCGAGGGGGCAGGGUUCUUUCCAUUCCUUCCUUCCUUCCCUCACGGGCUAGUAGGUUCAUCCACUCAUUCAUUCAUUCGUUCGCUCGUUCGUGCGUUUGCUCAUUCAUUCACUCGUACAUUCAUUCCAGGCCUCCCCCCUCCACCCAGGCGUCUGGGCCGCACGCGCAGAUCCCCCGCGGGCGCGCCUGGCCCUCCCUCCGGGCCUCGGCCCCGCCCCCGCCCCGCCCCGCCCCCUCUCCAGGCCAAUUGGGACCGGCUGGCCGGGCGGGGCCGGGGCCGGGGCGGGGCCUUGCUCCCCCACUACCCGCGGCGGCGCCCGCGGCUCCGGAAACGCGCCGCGGGGCUGCUGGGCUCAGCCGGGCGCGGGCGGCUCCGUGGCGUUUCCUGCCACGCCGGGCCUGCCUGGGCCGCGCCAGCGCCGCUCCGCCGAGGGCCGCGCGUCUGCCGCCACGGGGCCCGGGAUUCAGUGACAUUUGAUGACGUGGCACAGUACCUCACAAAAGGAGUGGCUGAGACUGGACAGUGAGAGGAGGAUGUUGGCAUAUUGCAGGAGUGCAACCUCUGGGAGUUCCUGUUUUGAAUCCUCCCUGGUGUGAGGACACCUGCUGCCGGCAACCGCCCAUCCCUUAAUGCAGAUUGGGCGAAGCAUUCUGGUGAGUGAGGGAGAAAGAAACCGGAAAAGUGAACACAUCGUGGGGUAAAGCCCGCUGCGCCUUUGGGGAGGGCUGUGGCUCCUUCUCAGUGUAGAAGGCGGGGAGCUCCUCGGGGCUACUUUGGUGGCAGGGAGUGUGGGACCCUAGGGACGUCGAUGCCCCUUUCGUCUGUGGUCCUUGCUUCUGGGCGGAUGGGCACCAGCCAUGCUGUCCCCCGACCCCAACGUCCCCUGCACCCCGUCCUUACCCCCGCCGUGCUUGGGCCCCAGGGUCACCAGCCGUCUCCGGAGGAAUGCGAUUCUUGACAGAGGAUCGCCACCUCGGUCCCUCCUCCUCUGCAGGGCGCGGCGUCUUGCGGUGCUGGUGUCCGAGCGGAGCGCGCGGCUGAG